rnacentral:hammerhead_ribozyme from 1 species
AUACUGCUGAGGAGUCCCACAAUAGGACGAAAUGGCCAUCUAGUGC